rnacentral:rRNA from 1 species
CCUCCGUCCCAUAAUAUAAGUCGUGUUUUCUUAUAAGGUGUCCCAAAAUAUAAGUCUUAUUUCUAUUUUCAAUCAAUAAUUAUACCCAAAAUACCCUCAUGAAAAUAGUUUAAUUCCCAAAAUGUCAUCAUAAUUUCAGCUUCCAAUGUACCUUAUUAAUUACAAAUUGGAAUCUUUUACCUCAUUAAACUCCUCUACACAUUAAACCAUGCAACAUUAAAUGACAGUUUUUAUUUUUUGUUAAAAAGAAAAAAGCAAUGUAAGUGUUUCUCAAUAAAAAUAAUUUUUUUUAUUCAAAUAAAACAAGAUUCCAUUUAACCUUAAUUCCCGCGUAAAAACAGAAUCAGGACUUAUAUUAUGGGACGGAGGGAGUAACAAAUUGUUGAAAUAUUCAUAGUCAAAGUUUUGAUUUUUUCUGUCCGUUGAUAAACAUAAAAGUUAAAAAGAUAUGAUUAAAAAGGUAUAUAAACGAUCAUAGUUUAGGUAUCACAACUUAUUAGAAUAGCUGGUGUAAUUUUAACAGAAAAUUAGACCGACACUGACAUUGAGAGACGAAAGUUGGGGGAGCGAAUGGGAUUAGAUACCCCAGUAAUCCUAGCCGUGAACGAUGGAUACUAGGCGCUGUGCGUAUCGACCCGUGCAGUGUUGUAGCUAACGCAUUAAGUAUCUCGCUGGGGAGUACGUUCGCAAGAAUGAAACUCAAAGGAAUUGACGGGGGCCCGCACAAGCGGUGGAGCAUGUGGUUUAAUUCGAUGCAAAGCAAAGAACCUUACCAGGACAUGCCGCGAAUCCUCUUGAAAGAGAAGGGUGCCUUCGGGAACGCGGAUACAUGUGGUGCAUGGUUGUCGUCAACUCGUGCCAUAAGGUGUUGGGUUAAGUCCUGCAACGAGCGCAAUCCUCGUGUUUCCAACGUUGAGUUUGGAACCCUGAACAGACUGCCGGUGAUAAGCCGGAGGAAGGUGAGGAUGACGUCAAGUCAUCAUGCCCCUUACGCCCUGGGCGACACACGUACUACAAUGGCCGGGACAAAGGGACGCGAUCCCGCGAGGGUGAGCUAACCCCAAAAACCCGUCCUCAGUUCGGAUUGCAGGCUGCAACUCGUCUGCAUGAAGCUGGAAUCGCUAGUAAUCAUCGGUCAGCCAUACGAUGGUGAAUUCGUUCCCGGGCCUUGUACACACCGCCCGUCACACUAUGGAAGUUGGCAAUGCCCGAAGUCGUUACCUUAACCGCAAGGAGGGGGAUGCCGAAGGCAGGGCUAGUGACUGGAGUGAAGUCGUAACAAGGUAGUUGUACUGGAAGGUGCGGCUG